AGUCGGUUAGCUCAGUUGGUUAGAGCGUGGUGCUAAUAGUAAUUGCUGGUUAACGCCAAGGUCGCGGGGUAUGUUCAACUACACCGUUGCAACAA